UAUAAUGGGUCAGCGACUUAUAUUCUGUAGCAAGGUUAACCGUAUAGGGGAGCCGCAGGGAAACCGAGUCUUAACUGGGCGUUAAGUUGCAGGGUAUAGACCCGAAACCCGGUGAUCUAGCCAUGGGCAGGUUGAAGGUUGGGUAACACUAACUGGAGGACCGAACCGACUAAUGUUGAAAAAUUAGCGGAUGACUUGUGGCUGGGGGUGAAAGGCCAAUCAAACCGGGAGAUAGCUGGUUCUCCCCGAAAGCUAUUUAGGUAGCGCCUCGUGAACUCAUCUUCGGGGGUAGAGCACUGUUUCGGCUAGGGGGUCAUCCCGACUUACCAACCCGAUGCAAACUACGAAUACCGAAGAAUGUUAUCACGGGAGACACACGGCGGGUGCUAACGUCCGUCGUGAAGAGGGAAACAACCCAGACCGCCAGCUAAGGUCCCAAAGUCAUGGUUAAGUGGGAAACGAUGUGGGAAGGCACAGACAGCCAGGAUGUUGGCUUAGAAGCAGCCAUCAUUUAAAGAAAGCGUAAUAGCUCACUGGUCGAGUCGGCCUGCGCGGAAGAUGUAACGGGGCUAAACC
rnacentral:rRNA from 1 species